rnacentral:misc_RNA from 1 species
UAGAGUUAAAAACUCACCAAACCCACUGUAAACGUACCUAUCUCAGCCCCUCCGGCAGGCGGCCCCAGGGCGGGGCCUCAGCCUAUGGCGCCUGCCGAAGGUGGCACAAAUUUUGCUCUUACAAGUAAAUCUGAGUCUAAAAACAAAAUAUUA